rnacentral:rRNA from 1 species
AGAUUGAACGCUGGCGGCAUGCCUUACACAUGCAAGUCGAACGGCAGCACGGGAGCAAUCCUGGUGGCGAGUGGCGAACGGGUGAGUAAUACAUCGGAACGUGCCCAGUUGUGGGGGAUAGCCCGACGAAAGCCGGAUUAAUACCGCAUACGACCUACGGGUGAAAGCGGGGGAUCGCAAGACCUCGCGCUAUUGGAGCGGCCGAUGUCGGAUUAGCUUGUUGGUGGGGUAAAAGCCUACCAAGGCUACGAUCCGUAGCUGGUCUGAGAGGACGACCAGCCACACUGGGACUGAGACACGGCCCAGACUCCUACGGGAGCAGCAGUGGGAAUUUGGACAAUGGGCGCAAGCCUGAUCCAGCCAUCGCCGCGUGGCGGGAAGAAGGCCGUUCGGGUUGUAAACCGUCGUUUGUCGAGGAAGAAACGGUCGU